UACGUAGGGGGCAAGCGUUGUCCGGAUUUAUUGGGCGUAAAGAGCUCGUAGGCGGUUUGGUAAGUCUGGUGUGAAAUCUCCACGCUCAACGUGGAGGGGCCACCCGAUACUGCCAUGACUGGAGUCCGGUAGAGGAGUGUGGAAUUCCCGGUGUAGCGGUGAAAUUCGUAGAUAUCGAGAGGAACACCGGUGGCGAAGGCGGCCUUCUGGACAGUGACUGACGCUGAGACGCGAAAGCGUGGGGAGCGAACAGG
rnacentral:rRNA from 1 species